rnacentral:rRNA from 1 species
CGUAAGGGGCAAGCGUUGUCCGGAAUCACUGGGCGUAAAGCGCACGUAGGCGGUUUAGCAAGUUAGGGGUGCAAGCUCCAGGCUUAACCUGGAAACUGCCUCUAAAACUACUUCACUUGAGUAUUAGAGGGGAAGCUGGAAUUCACGGUGUAGCGGUGAAAUGCGUAGAUAUCGUGGAGAACACCCGUGGCGAAGGCGGGCUUCUGGCUAAUAACUGACGCUGAGGUGCGAAAGCUAGGGGAGCGAACGGGAUUAGAUACCCCGGUAGUCCUAGCCGUAAACGAUGAGAACUAGGUGUGGGGGGUAAAACCUCCGUGCCGACGCCAACGCAUUAAGUUCUCCGCCUGGGGACUACGGCCGCAAGGUUA